rnacentral:rRNA from 1 species
GCAUAACGCGAAGAACCUUACCCACCUUUGUACAUGUACGGAAUCCUUUAGUAGAUAGAGGAGUGCUCGAAGAGAGCCGUAACACAGGUGCUGCAUGGCUGUCGUCAGCUCGUGUCGUGAGAUGUUGGGUUAAGUCCCGCAACGAGCGCAACCCUUGCCAUUAGUUGCUACGAAAGGGCACUCUAAUGGGACUGCCGGUGACAAACCGGAGGAAGGUGGGAUGGACGUCAAGUCCUCAUGGCCCUUAUACGGUGGGCUACGACACGUCAUACAAUGGCUGGUACAGAGGGUUGCCAACCGCGAGGGGAGCGUAAUCCCAUAAAGCCAAGUCGUAGUCCGGAUCGCAGUCUGCAACUCGACUGCGUGAAGUCGGAAUCGCUAG